GACGAACGCUGGCGGCGUGCCUAAUACAUGCAAGUAGAACGCACAGUUUAUACCGUAGCUUGCUACACCAUAGACUGUGAGUUGCGAACGGGUGAGUAACGCGUAGGUAACCUGCCUGGUAGCGGGGGAUAACUAUUGGAAACGAUAGCUAAUACCGCAUAAUAUUAAUUAUUGCAUGAUAAUUAAUUGAAAUGUGCAAUUGCACCACUACCAGAUGGACCUGCGUUGUAUUAGCUAGUAGGUGAGGUAACGGCUCACCUAGGCGACGAUACAUAGCCGACCUGAGAGGGUGAUCGGCCACACUGGGACUGAGACACGGCCCAGACUCCUACGGGAGGCAGCAGUAGGGAAUCUUCGGCAAUGGACGAAAGUCUGACCGAGCAACGCCGCGUGAGUGAAGAAGGUUUUCGGAUCGUAAAGCUCUGUUGUAAGAGAAGAACGGGUGUGAGAGUGGAAAGUUCACACUGUGACGGUAUCUUACCAGAAAGGGACGGCUAACUACGUG
rnacentral:rRNA from 1 species